GUGGGGCUGCGCUGCGGGAAAGGUGCUGACGAGGCGGGCGCGCGAGCUCGGCGGGGAGGGGUGCGGCCGGUCGGCGGCUGGCCGGUCCCCGACUUCCCGGCACCCUGGGCGACCGCUCCCUCGUGCGAGCGGGACCACGCCUGGACCGGGGCCCGCAGGUUUUACAGGGCAGCGGGGGGGAUUUGGGGCACGUGGGGUCGGGCCGCACCCCGACCUCGAGACGGCGCGGCGCUGCGAGCAAAGAGCCGUCGCGCCCGGAGCCAGGCCCCGCCCUACCUGGGAUCCCGUCGCCCUCCCGUCCCCGGGCCUACACCCGCCCCACCUGGGAUCCAGUAGCCCUCCCGCCCCCGGGCCUACACCCGCCCCGGUCAGCUCCGGCCAGGUCGGGGAGGAGGAGGGCACGCGCCGGGAGGACCGCGACUGGCCGCCUGGAGCCCGUGGCUCAGGCUUUCCCAGCCGCUGUUUUCCCCUUUGUACAUCGGGAUCCGCUUCGCACACUUAGUUUCUGCCUAGCACAUGCUGGGUGUUGUGUCCAGAUACACUAAUUCUUUUUCCCCUUCUUCCCCGCCAGUCACUAGAGCCGGUCUGGAAGGGCACUAACGCCUGGGUAGUCCUUCAAACAAAAAGCGUUGUGUGUCUUGCUUACUGGCCGUUAAUAGAAGUUUCCCCUUGAGAGUGGCUUUGGUUAGGAAAAAGGUGGCAAAGGGCCCAUCCCUGAACUGAUUAGUUGAGCCUGGGACCUGAUCAGAAUUGAGGGGAGGAGUGUUACCAGAAUUUUCUCUGUGCCCCGCACUUGCAUAAGUGCUUAUGGCUAGGAGCCCUGUGUAGGGCACACAUUACCUUGGGGCGCCCUUCGCUUCUUUCUCCUCUUGCUGCCCCUUCCCGGAAUCUCUCACCUCAUGACGUGACUAUGGUCAAGUCAUCGUUUCUGGGAUGGCCUGACCCCUGGGGACACGCCAGCCUCCAGGAGCUUAUAUGAGGCUGGUUUACCAGAGUAGACAGUGUAAGGCCCUGUCCUGGAAGGAGGAACAUGAAUAUGUCCUGAAGUGCUUGUGUCAUGUGUCAGGGGUUGUGCUAGGCUUUUCACAUGAGUGAUCUCAUUUGAUUCCCACAGCGGUCCUGUGAGCUAGGGGGAAUCAUCAUCCCUCUAUGUAGUUGAGGAAACUGGUUCCGCCGGUUUAAGCAACUUACCUCACAUUUCACAGUAGGGAGGUGAUGGUUGUAGGGCUUUGGCAAGAAAGUGUCAGUACCUGGUCAGGCCCCUAGGGUGUGAGACGCUCAGGGCCAUCCUGGAGGGUAUGGGUGAAAGCAUGUAACACCGUGGGUUUCCCCCCCUCUGUCACCCCAUUCUCUUGGCCACCGCUACCAUUUAUAUCAAGGCAAAACCAGGUUAGGUGGCAGAUGGAUAGUGUUCGAGGCAGAAGAAGCCCCAGAGGGCAAAGACAGGGCAAUUCCUUCUACCCCUCACCCCACACACACUUUGCUUUGGUCAUGGAUGGGUUAAUGGAAGGACUCCUGUGUAUCAGACUUGGGUCUUUUUUAGCACCAUCUGGCAGAAGUCACCUCUCCUCACACUUGCUGCUUCUACAAAACAUUGUUCACUUGGCAGUCAGCAGUGCAAAAGGCAGAAGUGUGGUGCGUGUGUGAUUUGGAUUCAGUGGACCCCAGAGACAAUUGUGUUGUUUGCAUUAUGUUGCGAUUGACAGCCCAUAGACACUGCUGUGUUGUAUGUGGAACCACAAAAGACGAGAAAGGCAACAAAAGCAGACGUUCCCUCUCCUUUUAAAAUUAUCUUGUCGCUGGGCACGGUGUCUCAUGCCUGUAAUCCCAGCACUUUGGGAGGCCGAGGCAGACGGAUCACGAGGUCAAGAUCGAGACCAUCCUGGCAAACAUAAUGAAACCCCGUCUCUACUGAAAAUACAAAAAUCAGCUGGACGUGGUGGCGCGUGCCUGUAGUCCCAGCUAUUCAGGAGGCUGAGGCAGGAGAAUCGCUUGAACCAGGGAGGCGGAGAUUACAGUGAGCCGAGAUUGCGCCACUGCACUGCAGCCUGGCAACAGAGCGAGACUCUGUCUCCAAAAAAAAAAAAACAACUUGCCUGCAGGAUUGGAUAGAGAAAUUCCCAGGAGAAAGCAAACAAAUAAGGGUGCAGGCAUUUGUCCUUCAAAACAGGCGGGCAGAUCACAAGGUCAGGAGCCAAGACCACGCCAUUGCCCUCCAUCUUGGGCGAGUGAGACUCCGUCUCAAAUAAAACAAACAAAAAAUCCCCAGGGCUUUGUAGGUAGACGCUUUUUGGCUUUGAACAAGGCAGGUAGCUUCAGUGUUUCAGAUCAAGGAGUGGAUGUAGGUUGAAGUGGGCAAAUCACUUGAGGUCAGAAGUUUGAGACCAGCGUGGCCAACAUGGUGAAACCCUGUCUUUACUAAGAAUAAAAACAUUAGCUGGGUGUGGUGGCACACACUUGUAAUCCCAACUACUCCGGAGGCUGAGGUGGGAGGAUGGAGGAUUGCUCGAACCGGAAGGCGGGGGUUGCAGUGAGCCAAGAUCGCACCACUGCACUCCAGCCUGAGCAACAGAGCAGGACUCCAUCUCAGAAAAAAAAAAACAAAAACGAGUGGUUGAGCCUGAUUGACCCAGGGACACGUUUUGUUUGUUUGUUUGUUUUUUGUUUUGUUUUGUUUUGUUUUAGAUCAAGGACCCUCUCUGUUGCCCAGGCUAAGUGCAGUCGCACAAUUAUAGCUCAGUUAACCUCAAACUCCUGGGGUCAAGCCACCAUCCCACCUCAGCGUCCUGAGUAGCUAGGACCACAACAAGCACAUGCCACGGCGCCCGGCUAAUUUUUAAAAUUUUCUGUAGAGAUGGGGUCUCGAUACGCUACCCAGCCUGGUCUGGAAUUCUUGGCCUUGAGUGAUCCUCUCGCCUCAGCCUCCCAAAGCACUAGGAUU
rnacentral:lncRNA from 10 species